rnacentral:rRNA from 1 species
GGUUAAGCGACUAAGCGUACACGGUGGAUGCCCUGGCAGUCAGAGGCGAUGAAGGACGUGCUAAUCUGCGAUAAGCGUCGGUAAGGUGAUAUGAACCGUUAUAACCGGCGAUUUCCGAAUGGGGAAACCCAGUGUGAUUCGUCACACUAUCAUUAACUGAAUCCAUAGGUUAAUGAGGCGAACCGGGGGAACUGAAACAUCUAAGUACCCCGAGGAAAAGAAAUCAACCGAGAUUCCCCCAGUAGCGGCGAGCGAACGGGGAGGAGCCCAGAGCCUGAAUCAGUGUGUGUGUUAGUGGAAGCGUCUGGAAAGGCGCGCGAUACAGGGUGACAGCCCCGUACACAAAAAUGCACAUGCUGUGAGCUCGAUGAGUAGGGCGGGACACGUGGUAUCCUGUCUGAAUAUGGGGGGACCAUCCUCCAAGGCUAAAUACUCCUGACUGACCGAUAGUGAACCAGUACCGUGAGGGAAAGGCGAAAAGAACCCCGGCGAGGGGAGUGAAAAAGAACCUGAAACCGUGUACGUACAAGCAGUGGGAGCCUCUUUAUGGGGUGACUGCGUACCUUUUGUAUAAUGGGUCAGCGACUUAUAUUCUGUAGCAAGGUUAACCGAAUAGGGGAGCCGAAGGGAAACCGAGUCUUAACUGGGCGUUAAGUUGCAGGGUAUAGACCCGAAACCCGGUGAUCUAGCCAUGGGCAGGUUGAAGGUUGGGUAACACUAACUGGAGGACCGAACCGACUAAUGUUGAAAAAUUAGCGGAUGACUUGUGGCUGGGGGUGAAAGGCCAAUCAAACCGGGAGAUAGCUGGUUCUCCCCGAAAGCU